GAUGAACGCUGGCGGCGUGCCUAAUACAUGCAAGUCGAGCGAACGGACGAGAAGCUUUCUUCUCUGAUGUUAGCGGCGGACGGGUGAGUAACACGUGGAUAACCUACCUAUAAGACUUGGAUAACUUCGUGAAACCGGAGCUACUACCGGAUAAUAUUUUGAACCGCAUGGUUCAAAAGUUAAAGACGGUCUUGCUGUCACUUAUAGAUGGUUCCGCGCUGCAUUAGCUAGUUGGUAAGGUAACGGCUUACCAAGGCAACGAUGCAUAGCCGACCUGAGAGGGUGAUCGGCCACACUGGAACUGAGACACGGUCCAGACUCCUACGGGAGGCAGCAGUAGGGAAUAUUCCGCAAUGGGCGAAAGCCUGACGGAGCAACGCCGCGUGAGUGAUGAAGGUCUUCGGAUCGUAAAACUCUGUUAUUAGGGAAGAACAUAUGUGUAAGUAACUGUGCACAUCUUGACGGUACCUAAUCAGAAAGCCACGGCUAACUACGUG
rnacentral:rRNA from 1 species